AGGUAUUCUAUAAGUAUGUA
rnacentral:snRNA from 1 species